CCCGGGCUCAGCGAGCCCGGGGUCGGGGCGCUCUGCGGAGGGGAGCGGGAGUGCAGCCCGGCCCCUCGCCCCUCACCUUGUCCCGCAGCAUUUUUACUAAGUCACCAGCACUACCAGCCACCCUGAUGACACCAAUAUAGGCACACUGCACCUCUGGUCCCUUCUCGUCUCCAGUUAUAACCCCUGGAGCUUGGGCAGUUACAUCUCUUGUGCAGAAAUGCUUAAUUCUCUGACAAUGACCCCAAGCCUUGGCUGCUCCAGGGAACUGGAGGAGUGAACUGUAAUGUCCACUACAAUUCCCAGAAGGCUACAGGAGAUGGGUGGAAGCAGAAAAGCAGUGAUGAAGCAUGGGAUGCCACAGUGGAAAGCAACGCAUGACCAGAGGCUCAGAAGGAGCAGCAGAGUGAGGACUCAGGUGUGGGAGCCCUGGCAGGUGACAGUUAAGCACUUUUGUAACCAGAGGCUGGUUGGUAGUCUCUCCAGAGUUGUAGAAGUGUUUAAGUUUUCUCAGGUGUAUAGAGUUCCCUGCAUGUUACCUGUUAUGGGGUGAUUUCACUACAGUGCUACUGUUUAUUAUCUGUUACCUGGAUCAUAAGUGUAUGUACCUUAAUGUUAAUGUUUAUUCAUCUGUAUCUGUCCCUUUUCCCCUUGCCCAUUGGCUUGUGACCCUAAUCCCCAGCAUCUCCUAUAUAAAAGUGGGAACUUCCCUUGCCAGCUCCCUGUGCCAGAUCCUGAGGUUGGGUUUGGUAAAGUGGAACCUACAUGCAGCUUGUUCUGUUCUGUGCGGCUGCAUGUUUAUAUAGGUUGUCGACCCUCCAGCAUCCCAAGGUAAAGUGUUUGUUUCUCCCCAUGCCCUUCUAUCACUCUGACUACUGCUCCUGUCUACCACCUUCCCCCCACCCCACUUUCCUGGCAGUCCCUGUGUGCUGGGGCUUAUGGCACUUAAAGAGUUCCUCAGGGAUCUGUUGCUGAGGGUGCCACUACUGCUUACAUUAGUGUGCUUGGGCUGGGGCUCCUGACACUUGGGGCACUCUGGGCCCUGGGCCUCUCAGCUAUCUGGACACCACUGUUACUUGCAUUCUGGGUGUUCCAGGCAUCUACAUGACUUACACGGCUUAAUUAUUCCUACACCUCUCCUCCUGCCUGGGGACAUAGUGCAUAGUGCCCUGUUCACAGCUAAAUGCAGCCAGGUGAAACAGCUUCAUGUCUCCACAGGCAGCUGUUGCUAGCUGCACAGAGGCUGCACAUGGAUAGCAAUAUUCUGUCAGGGGUCUAUUGCUGUGUAGAACACUGUGCAUCUAGAAAAAUGGAGUCACAUUCAGAGCAUGACUACAAGAUAGGGGCUAUGGCCUCUGGGAGGGUUUGGGAGGAAGAGAAGACAUGCACCAGGAACCAGAGAAAUUAGCUAUGCUUAGGUUUAGGUUAGCUUUAGUGAGUGUUUGUGUGGAUAGGGGCUAAAUUAGGGACUAAAGGGGCAUCUGUGAAAGGCAGGGAGGAGUGGGGACAGGGUGUGCAUAGCCAGGUAGGAGCAGGAAAUUGGGAGGGAGCUCUGAGAGCAACCAGAAGAGGGGUGGAAGUCCUGAGGGAGGUAGGAAGGGAGGGUCUCUGGCCAGGGUAGUGGGGAGGCGUAUUAUCCCAAGGCUGUGGUGCACCACUGCAGCGCUCUGUAAUCCUACCUUGUGUGCACCAGGUACUGAGCCGUGAACCCUGUGCCUAAGACAGAACCUGAGGCAGAUGCCACAGCCAGGCUCUUGAUGUCCCAACUUCAUCUUCCAGUUCUCCUUUCAGAGACAUCAACUCCCAAGAACCCUAUUGGCCUCACUGCUGGAGACUGACACACAGUUAGGAAACUCCUGGUCAAAUCUCCCUGUUGCUGCCAGUAAUCUGUCCAUGGAGGCAGAUUCUGUCAAGCAUUGUUUGGCAAGAGUGGUAAUGCAUAAGGGUGCCUUAUGCUGCUUGGAAACAGGCAUUUUCCCCACUGCAGCUGCUGUGCACAGAUCUGCUUUGUGACCUGCCUGCUAGCGCUGUAUAGAUGAGCAAGCCUUGCUUUCCUUCAGACACUUCCAUGGCUGAGGGAAACAGGGUGUUGCAAUUUGCACUCUCACCUUCAAUAUAUUUCCAGAGACUCCUGUUGAAACUGCUUUUCUCAGACCUGCUCCUCCUUCAGCUGUUGGGGUUACCAGGCUUGCUCAUGUAGCCAGCAUGCCCCCUACAGCUCUCUUCCUUAUGACUUCCUAGGGAGCCUGCCUCUAUGGAUAUUGCAAACCUCUUGUGGGUAUGCAGGCACAUAACUGGGUCUGGACCCCUGCCACAUGCCGACAGCUGGGAAAAAAUAAUCGAAUGAUUCCAAAAUGGUGGAAGUCUAAUUUUUUUUUCCAGGGCACAUUUAGAUGCCCAGGCAAGCUAUCAGAAUGCCAUCUUGAGAUUUUCAUCUUUAAAUAGGCAAUAGUCCCACAAACACCUUUGUGAUGUUGGUUAUUUGAUUUUGUUCCAGCUUUAUCUCACCAAAGAGGAUGCAAAUUAUGCCAUUCACAUUGCCAAGAUCAUGAUAGAGCCUUCUAAAGGUGAGAACAUCAAUUAUACAGUAUUAAAAGAGAAACUCUCUUCUGUCUACACGCUGGCCUGAGACCCUCCCUUCCUACCUCCCUCAGGACUUCUACCCCUCUUCUAGUUGCUCUCAGAGCUCCCUUCCAAUUUCUUGCCUUGGGACAGCUAGACAUUCCUGUCAUUGUCCCUUAGAAUAGAGACAUUCCUUAUUCAUAACUCUAGCUGGGUUUUAUUAGAGGAAAUGCCCAUAGUCUCCAGGAACCUGAAAUAAUAAAUAGGGAUAGAUUUACUCUAUUAUUGUAUAGGCCACAAGUGGCUAACCUGUGGCAAUUGAGACACAAGUGACAUGAGCCGCCUUUGUGUGUGGUAUGUGGCAGAUUGGAAUGGGCACAGGGAGGACCGUGGUAUACAGGGCAGAGAUCAGAGUAACAGAUUAGGCAGGCAAAGGAGACUGGAGUGAUACUCAGAGGGAAGGUGUGGGGUUUACCUUACAGCAUGUCUGAAAGGUUGCCCCCCUCCCCAAGUACAAAGGUGCAGUUAGAUGCAAAGGUACCAUCUACAGCAAAAUAUGUGGCUGCAUUAAAAAAAGGCUUGCUACUUUUGUCAAUUGAUUAAAAAGAAACAAACUCGACUUACAUUUUGACCAUUUUAAACCCAGUAUUGUACACACUAAGUACCACACAAAUUGCUGAUUACAUGUGCAGUUCCUUAUGGCAUUACUGUGUAGGUAAGCACAGGAUGAUGCUGCCACCUGGCCCAAGUUGUUGUAGUACAUUGGAUUUAACCUACAGUUAGAAGUCCAAGCUCUCCAUAUUUUACUAAUAAUUUACCAAUAUGAGCAUUAAACUUGAGGCUGUCUCCUAUAAAAGUAAGAUCAAGUGGCAAAAGGAGAAGUUUAGCUGAGUUACCUGAAGUCUGACAAAAUCUAGAUGGAGACAUCCAGGUAGAAGUACUGACCCAUGUCCUCAGUGGAUUUGAACUGGUAGAGCCUUACUGAAAUAAUAGUGCUUUUAGGUGGUUGAUAAGUUGGCUCAGGACUAUCCAGCUUGCAGCCCACAGCUCAUGGGGGGUUAACAUCCAGCCUGCAAUGCUGGGAGAGCUGCCAGGGUGGAAUAUCUGUGUAGCAUGGUGCAAUGGGAGAACCUACAGAGAGCUGAAGACAAGGCAGGGCGCUGUGCCACAUAGGUCGGGGUGCCCACCCUCUCCACAUGUGCUGUGCAGCCUGGGGGGCCAGUGGCCCCAGUUAGUGCAGCCCACAUGGUAUGCAGCUCUCAGGCACUUUGAAGUUGUACAACUCUGAUGUGGCCAAUAAGUAAAUGACUGAUAAUACACAUCUGCAACAAGGUUACAGAGGUGAACAUGUCUGCACAAAUUGCCCCAGUUGUUGAAGGUAUAUGAAUGAGGUCUGAACAACCCUGCAUCAUGCUGACUUUCUUAAAAGACUGUUACACCAGCAACCAACAUGGGGGUUUUAUCAAAGGUGUCAGUGACUCUGGAAGAGAGUGGGAAAAGAAACAAACAUUGCAAAACUAAGCCCUGAUGAUAAUGUAGUUCUGCUAAUUUCAAGUCAACCAAUUAAAACUUCAGACAUGA